rnacentral:rRNA from 1 species
GUGAGGAAUAUUGGUCAAUGGACGAGAGUCUGAACCAGCCAAGUCGCGUGAAGGAAGAAGGAUCUAUGGUUCGUAAACUUCUUUUGCAGGGGAAUAAAGUGCAGGACGUGUCCUGUUUUGUAUGUACCCUGAGAAUAAGGAUCGGCUAACUCCGUGCCAGCAGCCGCGGUAAUACGGAGGAUCCGAGCGUUAUCCGGAUUUAUUGGGUUUAAAGGGUGCGUAGGUGGUUUGAUAAGUCAGCGGUGAAAGUUUGCAGCUUAACUGUAAAAAUGCCGUUGAAACUGUCGGACUUGAGUGUAAAUGAGGUAGGCGGAAUGCGUGGUGUAGCGGUGAAAUGCAUAGAUAUCACGCAGAACUCCGAUUGCGAAGGCAGCUUACUAAGCUACAACUGACACUGAAGCACGAAAGCGUGGGGAUCAAACAGGAUUAGAAACCCCAGUAGUCC